rnacentral:rRNA from 1 species
UACGGAGGGGGCGAGCGUUAUUCGGAAUUAUUGGGCGUAAAGGGCGCGUAGGCGGCUUGACAAGUCAAAGGUGAAAUCCCUCGGCUCAACUGAGGAACUGCCUUUGAAACUGUCUGGCUUGAGGCCGGGAGGGGGUAGCGGAAUUCCCAGUGUAGCGGUGAAAUGCGUAGAUAUUGGGAGGAACACCAGUGGCGAAGGCGGCUCACUGGCUCGUAUCUGACGCUCAGGCGCGAUAGCGUGGGGAUCAAACAGG